rnacentral:rRNA from 1 species
GUGGGGAAUUUUGGGCAAUGGGCGAAAGCCUGACCCAGCAACGCCGCGUGAGGGAGGAAAUCCUUCGGGAUGUAAACCUCAUAAGCAGGGGAAGAAAGUCUAAGGCUGAUAACGCCUUCGAUUCGACGGUACCCUGCGUAAGCCACGGCUAACUACGUGCCAGCAGCCGCGGUAAUACGUAGGUGGCAAGCGUUGUUCGGAAUUACUGGGCGUAAAGGGCGCGUAGGCGGCUUGUUAAGUCGGCUGUGAAAGCCCGGGGCUCAACCCCGGAGGGUCGGCCGAUACUGGCAGGCUAGAGUACGGAAGAGGUAGCUGGAAUUCCCGGUGUAGCGGUGAAAUGCGUAGAUAUCGGGAGGAAUACCGGAGGCGAAGGCGGGCUACUGGGCCGAUACUGACGCUGAGGCGCGAAAGCCAGGGGAGCGAACGGGAUUAGAAACCCCAGUAGUCC